GACGUAGGGUGCAAGCGUUGUCCGGAUUUACUGGGCGUAAAGAGCGCGUAGGCGGUCUGUUAAGUGUGAAGUGAAAUCUCCAGGGCUCAACCCGGAAACUGCUUUACAUACUGGCAGACUUGAGGAGUGCAGAGGUUAGUGGAAUUCCUGGUGUAGCGGUGAAAUGCGUAGAUAUCAGGAGGAACACCGAUGGCGAAGGCAGCUAACUGGGCACUAUCUGACGCUGAGGCGCGAAAGCGUGGGGAGCAAACAGGAUUAGAUACCCUGGUAGUCCACGCCCUAAACGAUGGAUACUAGGCGUAAGAGGUAUUGAUCCCUCUUGUGCCGCAGCUAACGCACUAAGUAUCCCGCCUGGGGAGUACGGCCGCAAGGUUGAA
rnacentral:rRNA from 1 species